rnacentral:lncRNA from 1 species
AUAGUGAAAUUCUCAAGUGAGACUUGGGGAGUGGACGUAGGAGCAAGGGUUAGCUCCGAACCACUAUAAAACUUUGUGUUUGUGAUUGAUUGUCUCUCUUCUUCUUUCUCUCUUAUCACUCACAGCACAUAGCAGUUAAUUAAACAACUUGCAAUAGUUUUAAUUAGUCAUCCGCAACGCUUUAAAUAUCUAAAUUAUUUUAA